CAAGCCAAAGGUAAACCUGCCGAAAGGCAGGGGCACAAAGCUAAAGGGGCUUCAGGCGGCAAGAUCCUUGAUCUUAUCGCUAUGCCAGCCAGCUGCCGAAA
rnacentral:ncRNA from 1 species